CCAAUAGCGUAUAUUAAAGUUGUUGCAGUUAAAAAGCUCGUAGUUGAAUUUCAGGCCUGGCUGGACGGUCCGCCUUUUGGGUGAGUACUGUCUGUGGUCGGGUCCUACCUUCUGGCGAAGCGUCAUGGCCUUAACCGGCCGUGGCGGGGAACCAGGACUUUUACUGGGAAAAAAUUAGAGUGUUCAAAGCAGGCAGUCGCUUGGAUACGUUAGCAUGGAAUAAUGGAAUAGGACAAUGGUUCUAUUUGUUGGUUUCUAGGACCGUUGUAAUGAUUAAUAGGGAUAGUUGGGGGCAUUAGUAUUCAAUUGUCAGAGGUGAAAUUCUUGGAUUUAUUGAAGACUAACUACUGCGAAAGCAUUUGCCAAGGAUGUUUUCAUUAAUCAAGAACGAAAGUUAGGGGAUCGAAGACGAUCAGAUACCGUCGUAGUCUUAACCAUAAACUAUGCCGACUAGGAAUCGGGCGAUGUUGACAAAAUGACGCGCUCGGCACCUCAUG
rnacentral:rRNA from 1 species